rnacentral:rRNA from 1 species
GAUGAACGCUGGCGGCGUGCCUAAUACAUGCAAGUCGAGCGAACAGACGAGGAGCUUGCUCCUCUGACGUUAGCGGCGGACGGGUGAGUAACACGUGGAUAACCUACCUAUAAGACUGGGAUAACUUCGGGAAACCGGAGCUAAUACCGGAUAAUAUAUUGAACCGCAUGGUUCAAUAGUGAAAGACGGUUUUGCUGUCACUUAUAGAUGGAUCCGCGCCGCAUUAGCUAGUUGGUAAGGUAACGGCUUACCAAGGCAACGAUGCGUAGCAGACCUGAGAGGGUGAUCGGCCACACGGGAACUGAGACACGGUCCAGACUCCUACGGGAGGCAGCAGUAGGGAAUCUUCCGCAAUGGGCGAAAGCCUGACGGAGCAACGCCGCGUGAGUGAUGAAGGUCUUCGGAUCGUAAAACUCUGUUAUUAGGGAAGAACAAAUGUGUAAGUAACUAUGCACGUCUUGACGGUACCUAAUCAGAAAGCCACGGCUAACUACGUG